AGCAUAUCAAUAAGCGGAGGAAAAGAAACCAACAGGGAUUGCCUCAGUAACGGCGAGUGAAGCGGCAAUAGCUCAAAUUUGAAAUCUGGAGCCUUCGGCUUCCGAGUUGUAAUUUGAAGAGGAUGUUUCGGUUGCGGCCUGGGCCUAAGUUCCUUGGAACAGGAUGUCAUGGAGGGUGAGAAUCCCGUACAUGGCUGCAGGUUUGCUUCUAUGUGAAACUCCUUCGAAGAGUCGAGUUGUUUGGGAAUGCAGCUCAAAAUGGGUGGUAAAUUUCAUCUAAAGCUAAAUAUUGGCGGGAGACCGAUAGCGCACAAGUAGAGUGAUCGAAAGAUGAAAAGCACUUUGAAAAGAGAGUUAAACAGUACGUGAAAUUGUUGAAAGGGAAGCGCUUGCAAUCAGACUCGCUUUCGGUUGAUCAACGUUCCUUCUGGUUCGUGCACUCUGCCGUUUGCGGGCCAGCAUCAGUUGGGGCGGCGGGACAAAGUCGGUGGGAAUGUGGCUCCCCUCGGGGAGUGUUAUAGCCCACCGUGCCAUGCCGCCAGCCCCGAUUGAGGUCUGCGGUUCGCCUAGGAUGCUGGCUUAAUGGUUGUAAGCGACCCGU
rnacentral:rRNA from 1 species